rnacentral:rRNA from 1 species
UACGGGGGGGGCAAGCGUUGUUCGGAAUUACUGGGCGUAAAGCGCGUGUAGGCGGCUCUUCAAGUCGAGUGUGAAAUCCCCGGGCUUAACCUGGGAACUGCGCUUCUAACUGGCAGGCUAGAGUGUGGCAGAGGGGGGUGGAAUUCCACGUGUAGCAGUGAAAUGCGUAGAGAUGUGGAGGAACACCGAUGGCGAAGGCAGCCCCCUGGGCUAACACUGACGCUCAUGCACGAAAGCGUGGGGAGCAAACAGG